rnacentral:rRNA from 1 species
ACAGGAAAGAAGGCUUGCAGUGGUGGAUACCUGGGCACCCAGAGAUUGAGGAAGGGCGUAGUAAGCGACAGGAAAUGCUUCGGGGGAGUUGAAAAUAGAAAGCGUAGAUCGGAGAGAUUCCCGAAUAGAGUUAACCUUUUUGAACUGCUGCAGAUCAUGGGCAGGCAGAACAACCUGGCGAACUGGGAAACAUCUGCUUAGUAGCCAGAGGAAAAGAAAGCAAAAGAUUCCGUAGUAGCGAGGCAGAAAUGGAGCAGCCUAAAACCGUGAAAACAGGGUUGUGGGAGAGCAAUAAAAGCGUCGUGCUGCUAGGCGAAGCAGUGGAGUGCCGCACCCUGAAUGGCCGGAGUCAGUAGCCAGAAAGCAUCACCAAACAUGCUCUGAGCCAAGAGUACUUAUAGGGCGCGUGAAUCCCGUGUGAAUCCCAGCAAGGACCAUGCAGAAUGCAUCUCCUGGGUGACCGAUAGCGAAGUAAUAGUACCGUGAGGGAAGGGUGAAAAUUAUCAGGGAGUGAAAUAGAACAUGAGGCAAUGCUCCAAGCGGUGGGAGGAGCUGGGCUGACCCGCGUGCCUGUUGAAGCCGACCUACAGCGACUCGCUGCGGCAGUGAAAGCGGUUAAGGGAACCCACCGGGCCACUGGCAGCGAAGGUCUUCAUAGAGACGUUAUCACUGCUUAUGGACCCGAAGACCUGCGGUGAGAAUCUAUCUAUGACCAGGAUGAAGCUUGGGUGAAACCUAAAGUGGAGGUCGAACCGACUGAUGUUGAAAAAUCAAGUGAUGAGUUGUGGUUAGUGAAAUGCCAAUCAAAACCCAGAGCUAGCUGUUUCUCCCAGCACGUUGAAGGCGCAGCAGUUGACUGGACAUCUGGGAGUAAGCACUGUUUCGGUGCGGGCCGCCGAGAGCAAUUACUCAAUCUAAUGAAACUCUGAAUACUAGAUAUGACCUCGAAAUAACAGGGGUCAAGGUCGACUGAGUGAGACGGGGUGGGGAUAAAGCUGCAUCGUCAGAGAGGAAGCAGCCCGGAUCACUGCUUCAGGCUAUCGCUCGGUGAUCAAAGGAAGUGGGGUGCAAAGUAGCCAGGAGAGUUUGACUGAAGCAGCCACCCUUGAAAAGAGUGCGUAUUGACUCGCGAUCAGACGCUCGCCGAAGAUGAACAGGGCUAAACUGAUCUGCCAAGCUGUGGGAUAUAAAUCAUGGUAGGGAGGCAUUCCGCCUUGAAACAACCGCGCGAGCAGCAGUGGACAAACGGAAGCAGAAUGUCAGCAGAGUAACGCAAACGUUGGUGAGAAUCAAUGCCCCGAAAAGCCAAAGGGUUCCUCCGCAAAGUUCGUCCACGGGAGGGUGAUCAGGGCCUAAGAUCAGGGGCCAAAGGCGUAGUCGAUGGACAACAGGUGAAUAUUCCUGUACUACCUGUUGGUCCCGAGGGACGGAGGCUAGGUUAGCCAGAAAAGUGGUUUAUCGGUUCAAAAGAACGCAAGGUGUCCUGUUUUUCAGGGUAAAGGGGGUUAGAAAAUGCCCCACAAUGUUCAAUUACCAGGCGCUACGGCGCUGAAGUAACCAUGCUAUCUCCCAGGAAAAGCUCAGACGACCUUCAGCAAAAGGGUACCUGUGCAAAACCGACACAGGUGGGUAGUGAGAAUACCUAGGGGCGCGAACCAGCUCUCUCUAGAACUCGGCAAAAUAGCCCGUAACUGGGAAAAAGUGCCUCCACAAAGGGGUCCCGUAGUGAGCCAGGCCGGGCGACUGUUGCCAAAAACACAGGUCUCCCGCAAAGUCAAGACCAUGUGGGUUGACGCCUGCCCGUCACCGGAAGGUCAGAGUUGGUGACCUGAUGACAGGGGAGCCGGCGACCAAAGCCCAGUGAACGGCAGCCCGUAACCAUAACGGUCCUGGUGAAAUUCCUUGUCCGGGUAAGUUCCGACCCGCACGAAGGCGUAACGAUCUGGGCACUGUCUCGGAGAGAGGCUCGGUGAAAUAGACAUGUGAAGAUGCGGACUACCUGCACCUGGACAGAAAGACCUAUGAAGCUUCCACUGACUUCCCUAGGGAUUGGCUUUGGGCUUUUCCUGCUGCGCUUUGGAGUGGAAGAGCGAAAGGCCUCCUUCGAGGGCCCAGAGCCAUCAGUGAGAUACCACUCUGGAAGGCUAGAAUUAACCUUGUGUCCCGGGACCUGCGGGCCAGGGACGAUCAGGUAGACAGUUUCACCCAUGGGGCGUAGGCGCACUCCCCAAAAUUAACAGGCGUGCAAAGGUUCCUCAGGCCCGGACGGAGACAGGCCCUCAGUGCAAAGGCAGAAGGGAGCUUGACUUUGAGACCCACCCGUCGAGAGCAGGGACGAAAGUCGGCCUGCGUGAUCCAGCGGUGCCAGACGGAAGGGCCGUCGCUCAGCAGACAAAGUUACUCAGGGAUAACAAGCUGAUCGCUUCCCCCAGAGCUCACAUCCCGGCCGGGAAGGUUUGGCACCUCGAUGUCGGCUCUUCGCCACCUGGGGCUUAUAAGUAUAUUUCAGGGUUGGGCUGUUCAGCAUUAAAGGCAGUACUGUGGCGCCGGUUCAGAACAACGGACAGACAGUCCGCAAUAUCCGGUGUGGUUAAGAGCAUUGAGGACCUUUCCCUAGUACGAGAGGUUGGGAAAGACACCUCAAUUGUACCAGUUACUCAUUACCCACGGUAAACGCUGGGUAGCCAAAGUGCGGAGGCAGAGAUGGCUGCAGCUUGCAUCCUAGUAAAUAAGCCCACCCCAAGAUGAGUGCUCUCCUAUUCGACUUCCCCAGAGCCUCCGGUAGCACAGCCAGAACCAAUAGCUUAGGGUUCUCCUUCCGUGAUGGAGUGACAAGAAGUUUGAGGAAUUCAAGAAGAGUCCACGGCAGACAGACCGUUUAUCGCUGACCAUUAUCAGUGCAGUACAGUGAUAUAUACAGCUGAAGGCAUCUAACAGACCAGUAGAGCUUGAGCCU